rnacentral:rRNA from 1 species
CCCUUAGACGUUCUGGGCUGCACGCGUGUUACAAUCGGGAGUACAACAAGAUUGCAAAUCCUAGUGGAUGAGUGGUUCUUCGAAAUUUUCUGAAGACUGGGAUAGUUGAUUGAAAUUAUUCAACUCGAACGAGGAAUUCCUUGUAAUUGUAAUUCAUUAUAUUGUAAUGAAUACGUCCCUGCCCUUUGUACACACUGCCCGUCGCUCCUACCGAUUGAACGAUCCGGUGAAUUAUUUGGAGUAGCUCUGGAAGUUGCAGAACUUCCUAUGUCACGAAAUUUUGUAAACCUUAUCGUUUAGAGGAAGGAAAAGUCGUAACA